GAGUAAUACGAGAACAGCUACCAGGGCGCCGCACCGCCGAGGGCAGGCGCGUCGACGGGCACGAGGCGACACACGCCACGCACCGCGCAGCCGCCGACCGGCCGAUAAACGACCAACUGACUCACAUCAUACACAGAUUUUUAUUAAAAUAAACGCCUCCCAUCAAUAUGAUGGAAACGCAAGCGUGUUAUAUCAGUAUCUUCGCUUAAUGUCACGCCCGCGUGUCGGAAGUGGUAGCCGUUAGGGUGCAACACUUUACUCGCGGCGUGUACGGAUGUGUGUGAAUAAUGGCUAGAUGAAUAUAGUUAGUAGUUGCAAGUUGCAGCGUGCGGCGUGCCGGGUCAUGCAGCCGGCGAGGUCGGCAGUGCGCGGCCGCAGAGGUGACCGCGUGGAGCAAAAACUACGCGCUCAUGUAUUUGUUCCACGUACUACCUAGUGCCUACCUACCGACCACUACCUGCUGCAAUUAGCCUGUGUAUAUUCGUGCGUCGGUUACUUUUUUUCUAGUAAUAGACGAGCAAGUGAAUGUUCAGGUGGGGUAUGAGCGGCGCGAUGUGGAUCUGUCGACACGUCUCCCACCUGCUCGCUUGCCAACUAAGAAAAAAUAUAUAAUGCUACGUUGGAGUUUUGAGAAAAUAAUAUGGAUGCACUACUAAAUAUUAAGCGACGCGGCGCGGCCGUCAGUCGCGCGGCGGCGC